rnacentral:tRNA from 1 species
GGGCUGGUGGUCUAGGGGUUAUGACGUCUGCCUUACACGCAGAAGGUCCCCGGUUCGAAUCCGGGCCAGCCCA